AUUGAACGCUGGCGGCAUGCUUUACACAUGCAAGUCGAACGGUAACAGGCCGCAAGGUGCUGACGAGUGGCGAACGGGUGAGUAAUGCAUCGGAACGUGCCCAGUCGUGGGGGAUAACGCAGCGAAAGCUGUGCUAAUACCGCAUACGAUCUAUGGAUGAAAGCGGGGGACCGUAAGGCCUCGCGCGAUUGGAGCGGCCGAUGUCAGAUUAGGUAGUUGGUGGGGUAAAGGCCCACCAAGCCAACGAUCUGUAGCUGGUCUGAGAGGACGACCAGCCACACUGGGACUGAGACACGGCCCAGACUCCUACGGGAGGCAGCAGUGGGGAAUUUUGGACAAUGGGCGCAAGCCUGAUCCAGCAAUGCCGCGUGCAGGAAGAAGGCCUUCGGGUUGUAAACUGCUUUUGUACGGAACGAAAAGGUCUGGGUUAAUACCCUGGGCCGAUGACGGUACCGUAAGAAUAAGCACCGGCUAACUACGCGCCAGCAGCCGCGGUAACAC
rnacentral:rRNA from 1 species